rnacentral:rRNA from 1 species
GGCGGCGUGCUUACACAUGCCNUUCGAUCGGUAACAGGUGUAGCAAUACAUGCUGACGAGAGGCGGACGGGUGAGGAAUAUUUGGGAAUCUGCCCAUCAGCGGGGGACAACCCGGGGAAACUCGGGCUAAUACCGCAUACGCUCUACGGAGGAAAGCCGGGGACCGCAAGGCCUGGCACUGAUGGAUGAGCCCAAAUCGGAUUAGCUAGUUGGCGGGGUAACGGCCCACCAAGGCGACGAUCCGUAGCUGGUCUGAGAGGACGAUCAGCCACACCGGAACUGAGACACGGUCCGGACUCCUACGGGAGGCAGCAGUGGGGAAUAUUGGACAAUGGGGGAAACCCUGAUCCAGCGACGCCGCGUGGGUGAAGAAGGCCUGCGGGUUGUAAAGCCCUUUCGGUAGGGACGAAAACUCUUGCCUUAACACGGCAGGAGCUUGACUUAACCUACAUAAGAAGCACCGGCUAACUCUGUGCCAGCAGCCGCGGUAAUACAGAGGGUGCGAGCGUUAAUCGGAAUUACUGGGCGUAAAGCGCACGUAGGCGGCUUUGUAAGUCGGAUGUGAAAUCCCCGGGCUCAACCUGGGAACUGCACCCGAAACUACAUUGCUAGAGUAUGGGAGAGGGAGGCGGAAUUUCCGGUGUAGCAGUGAAAUGCGUAGAUAUCGGAAGGAACAUCAGUGGCGAAGGCGGCCUCCUGGACCAAUACUGACGCUCAGGUGCGAAAGCGUGGGGAGCAAACAGGAUUAGAUACCCUGGUAGUCACGCCCUAAACGAUGAGACUGGNAUGUCGGGAGGGUUUGCCNUCCGGGGNCGUAAUNACGCGAUAAGUUC